rnacentral:rRNA from 2 species
GCAUUCGUCAAGCAUGUUUUCAUUGACCAUGAGCGAAAGUCAGAGGCUCGAAGACGAUCAGAUACCGUCCUAGUUCUGACCAUAAACGAUGCCAACUGACGAUCCGUGGUGGUAGUAUUUAAACCUUCCUCACGGGCAGUCCCCGGGAAACCAUUAAGUCUAUGGGUUCCGGGGGAAGUAUGGUUGCAAAGCUGAAACUUAAAGGAAUUGACGGAAGGGCACCACCAGGAGUGGAGCCUGCGGCUUAAUUUGACUCAACACGGGAAAACUCACCCGGGCCGGACACUAUGAGGAUUGACAGAUUGAAAGCUCUUUCUUGAUUUGGUGGUUGGUGGUGCAUGGCCGUUCUUAGUUGGUGGAGCGAUUUGUCUGGUUAAUUCCGAUAACGAACGAGACUCUAGCCUGCUAAUUAGUACACCUGUCCACUGUUCUUGUGCAGGCGGGCGCUUGCCAAAUCUGCCCUAUACGGUUGGCCCGUCCGUGCCGCAGUUGGUUGCGCUGUGUCUUCGCCGCAAGGUUGACGCUUGGUGUGGCGGCUGUGCAUGCCGGCGGGGUGGCUUGGGCGGCGGGUUCGGCGUCUGCUUCCGGGUACGGCGCGGGUGUCUUCUUCUUAGAGGGACAAGUGGGAGAAGCCGCACGAGAUUGAGCAAUAACAGGUCUGUGAUGCCCUUAGAUGUCCGGGGCCGCACGCGCGCUACAAUGACGGUGCCAACGAGUCUGACUUUCUGGCCCGAAAGGGUUGGGCAAACUGGUCAAUCACCGUCAUGACAGGGAUCGGGGCUUGGAAUUAUUCCCCGUGAACGAGGAAUUCCUAGUAAGUGCAAGUCAUAAGCUUGCGCUGAUUACGUCCCUGCCCUUUGUACACACCGCCCGUCGCUACUACCGAUUGAAUGGUUUAGUAAGGUCCUUGGAUUGGCGCCAUUGAAGCCGCAAGGCUCAGGCGGUGCUGAGAAGACGACCGAACUUGAUCAUUAGAGGAAGUAAA